rnacentral:lncRNA from 10 species
AGAGUUAAAUGCAGAUGUCCACACGAGGGGUCGGAGUUACCUGAUCACAUCGAGAGAGUGCUGGGCAGAUGGAUGGUGAGCACCACUGCUACAGAGCACCCAGUGAUUUUACUGAGGAUUAAAAUAAAAAACCGUAGGAAUGGGCUCAACAGUGAACAAAGCACACCAGACAAACCUCUGGUUAUGUUUUUAAAGAUUCGUUUGCUAUUUUUCACUUUCAGCUGAGUUUACUUAUAGGCACAUUGUGCACAUGUACCCUAAAACUUAAAGUAUAAAAAAAAAAAAACCUACCGAAAAAAAAAAAAAAGAAUUACAAGUAAACUUUACUAAAGUAUAUGCACUGAGAAAUAAC